GACGAACCUUGCUAACGUUAUUCGGAAUUACUGGGCUUAAAGGGUGCGUAGGCGGUGCAGAAAGUUGGGUGUGAAAGCCCUCGGCUCAACCGAGGAAUUGCGCCCAAAACUGCUGCACUAGAGGAAGACAGAGGUACGCGGAACUUAGGGUGGAGCGGUGAAAUGCGUUGAUAUCCUAGGGAACACCGGUGGCGAAAGCGGCGUACUGGGUCUUAUCUGACGCUGAGGCACGAAAGCUAGGGGAGCGAACGGG
rnacentral:rRNA from 1 species